rnacentral:rRNA from 1 species
UACGUAGGCAGCAAGCGUUGUUCGGAAUUACUGGGCGUAAAGAGUGUGUAGGCGGUGCUCUAAGUUUGGUGUGAAAUCUCCCGGCUCAACUGGGAGGGUGCGCCGAAAACUGGAAUGCUUGAACGUGGGAGAGGAAAGCGGAAUUCCUGGUGUAGCAGUGAAAUGCGUAGAUAUCAGGAGGAACACCUGCGGUGUAGACGGCUUUCUGGACCAUUGUUGACGCUGAGACACGAAAGCGUGGGUAGCAAACAGG